rnacentral:rRNA from 1 species
CCUACGGGCGGCACAGUGGGGAAUAUUGCACAAUGGGCGCAAGCCUGAUGCAGCCAUGCCGCGUGUGUGAAGAAGGCCUUCGGGUUGUAAAGCACUUUCAGCGGGGAGGAAGGCGGUGAGGUUAAUAACCUCAUCGAUUGACGUUACCCGCAGAAGAAGCACCGGCUAACUCCGUGCCAGCAGCCGCGGUAAUACGGAGGGUGCAAGCGUUAAUCGGAAUUACUGGGCGUAAAGCGCACGCAGGCGGUCUGUCAAGUCGGAUGUGAAAUCCCCGGGCUCAACCUGGGAACUGCAUUCGAAACUGGCAGGCUAGAGUCUUGUAGAGGGGGGUAGAAUUCCAGGUGUAGCGGUGAAAUGCGUAGAGAUCUGGAGGAAUACCGGUGGCGAAGGCGGCCCCCUGGACAAAGACUGGCGCUCAGGUGCGAAGGCGUGGGGAGCAAACAGGAUUAGAUACCCGUGUAGUC